rnacentral:rRNA from 1 species
GAUGACGCUGGCGGCGUGCCUAAUACCUGCAAGUCGCGCGAACGGACGAGAAGCUUGCUUUUCUGAUGUUAGCGGCGGACGGGGGAGUAACACGUGGAUAACCUACCUAUAAGACUGGGAUAACUUCGGGAAACCGGAGCUAAUACCGGAUAAUAUUUUGAACCGCAUGGUUCAAAAGUGAAAGACGGUCUUGCUGUCACUUAUAGAUGGAUCCGCGCUGCAUUAGCUAGUUGGUAAGGUAACGGCUUACCAAGGCAACGAUGCAUAGCCGACCUGAGAGGGUGAUCGGCCACACUGGAACUGAGACACGGUCCAGACUCCUACGGGAGGCAGCAGUAGGGAAUCUUCCGCAAUGGGCGAAAGCCUGACGGAGCAACGCCGCGUGAGUGAUGAAGGUCUUCGGAUCGUAAAACUCUGUUAUUAGGGAAGAACAUAUGUGUAAGUAACUGUGCACAUCUUGACGGUACCUAAUCAGAAAGCCACGGCUAACUACGUG